UCACACAACGCAAAUAAACCUCACGUCUACGUAACAAACAUGAGCAUAACGUCACAAUAACAAAAAGUAUCAGUUCGUCGUGGGGAAGCAAUUUUUGGACCCGAAAAGAUUCAGUUACCGAAGGCCUAAAUCUAUUUUCGAAUCGGUCCAGAUGGUCUACAUAGAUGGCAGCUGCUCCCAUAAGGCCGAAAUACCCCAGCAAAGAACAUUAUGUCACGGCACAGAAAGGCCCUUUUCCAGGAAAGAAUCGAGGACACAAUUGGGUCGCAUUGUUAUUCC